AUAGGAAAUAAGGAGCUGAUGAAAUCUGGGUCGCUGUUAGUCAGCCGUAUCCAGCUCAGUGCUGUGAGCUUUCAGUUUUGGGUGAUGUCAAGGCUGAAAACGUGGAAGCAUGUCAUAAUUACAGGCACCUGCAGAGAGCUUUUCUCUUAGCAGAGCAUAUUUAAAGAAUAAAAAUCCUAUAAUAGCAUAAACACAUUGAAACAUCAAUAUUGAUGAACAUGUUUUGUCAGUCAGUUCUUAUAAGCAUAAACAAAGGACAGCUUGUGUUAUGAAGCACUCCAGAGACAGACUUCACACAGUCAACAGCAGUGAUCAAACAGAUCAGAGGAUUAAAAUAGAAAAAAUAUUCUCCUUACUAUAUGGACAAGACAAAAUAGAUAAAUAAUUAUGUGGAAAAAAAUAGAAUCAUAAUAGGUGAUUAAAUCACAAAACUCUUUGAGAACCGCCUGAUAAAUUCUGAGGGGAAAAAAAUAUAAAUUUGGAUUGUUUACACAUGCAGUGAGUGCAGUGUGUUUGGUAAAGACCUCAAGUUAACACAGCCUGCAGAGAUCUCUAUUCGACAUAAAAUAUGAAUAUUUCUGUUAAAAAAUUCAUACUGAAGCACCUUACUCUCGUUUAUCGACACCUCUUGCUUUUCGACAGAUUCGUACUUUAACACUAUAUGACUAGCAUGCCGGUGUGGGAUAGUAGCCUAAUUGUCCGGACCUGUGGGCUGCUGUACGUGAACUUUACAUUUUAUCUGCUCGCGCGCGGUAAAACGUUUGGUCCGAGCGCACAAAUGGACACGGGAUUUGUGGCUGAAUAUAGAAGGUUUGAACGACGUCUUUGAAGUGGACGGUUCUCAGAGUCGCGUGCCGAUUUUUCUGAGCUGUAUGCGGACUGCGCACGCGGGUCCGCAGUGGCGGGUUGCGCGCGUGCGUUUGCGCGUACGCGGGUGCUGCUGUUGUAAUUUCACGUCACAUCAAGUUUGAUCAACGGUCCGAUUGGAUGAUCUACAGUGCUGUCCUGAAUCGAGAAGCUCUUGCGCUUGUUUGCUCGUAUUCGCCUCUCGUCCUGUAGCCCGAAUGCACCUAUCCGGCAUCGCGUGAGGGAGUCGGUGCACAUCUGGAGGAUUUUGUUGUCGCCCUCGCGCCCGGUCUGGAUGUUGCGCGGGAGCUGAAGAAUUAGAGGUCGGAGACAAAAUGCGGCGGCGAGCGCACGCGACCGUCCUGCUCCUGCCGUGGCUAAUGCUGCAAACACAGGCAGGCUUUCCAAAUCAGAUCAAUAUCGGUGGUCUCUUCAUGCGCUCUACGGUUCAGGAACACAGCGCGUUCCGCUUCGCCGUUCAGCUCUACAACACCAAUCAGAAUAUUACUGAGAAACCCUUUCACCUGAAUUAUAACGUGGACAAUCUGGAGUCGUCCAAUAGCUUCUCAGUCACGCACGCAUUCUGUUCUCAGUUCUCCAGGGGUGUGUAUGCAAUAUUUGGAUUCUAUGACAGGAGGUCAAUGAACACAUUAACGUCGUUCUGCGGCGCUCUGCACACCUCCUUCAUCACUCCAUCUUUUCCCACGGACACAGAUGUGCAGUUUGUCCUGCAGAUGCGGCCGAGCCUCCGGGGGGCGCUGCUCAGCUUGCUAGCCCAUUACAAAUGGGAGAAAUUUGUCUACCUCUAUGACACUGAUCGAGGGUUUUCCAUCCUACAGGCCAUCAUGGAAUCUGCAGUGAUGAAUAAUUGGCAAGUGACGGCGCGUUCAGUGGGGAACAUAGUGGAUCCGCUGGAAUACCGACGCAUUAUUGAAGAAAUGGAUCGUCGGCAGGAGAAGCGCUUCCUUAUCGACUGUGAGGUUAAACGCAUCAACAGUAUUCUAGAGCAGGUUGUGAUCUCAGGAAAGAACAGCCGUGGAUAUCAUUACAUCCUGGCUAAUCUUGGGUUCUCUAACAUGAGUUUGGAUAAGGUGUGUUCAGGCGGAGCAAAUAUUACCGGAUUCCAAAUCAUAAAUCCUGAUAGCCCGAUCGUGCAGCAGUUUCUCCAGCGCUGGGAGCGGCUCGAUGAGAGAGAGUUCCCUGAGUCUAGAAACACUCCCCUAAAGUAUACAUCUGCACUGACACAUGAUGCCAUCCUGGUGAUCGCUGAAGCAUUUCGCUAUUUGAGACGUCAGCGCGUUGAUAUUUCCCGUCGAGGGAGUGCAGGCGACUGCCUUGCCAACCCGGCCGUACCAUGGAGCCAGGGAAUCGACAUUGAAAGAGCUCUCAAAAUGGUUCAGGUUCAGGGUAUGACAGGAAAUAUUCAGUUCGACUCCUUUGGACGGCGAUCAAAUUACACCAUUGAUGUUUAUGAAAUGAAAACGGGAGGAGCCAGAAAGAUCGGCUACUGGAACGAAUACGAGAAAUUUGUUUAUAUAGUGGAGCAGCAGGUUACCAACGAAUCCUCCUCUGUGGAAAACAGAACCAUUGUGGUCACUACUAUCAUGGAAGCUCCAUAUGUAAUGUACAAGAGGAAUUAUAUGCAGAUGGAUGGAAAUGAUCGCUAUGAGGGCUACUGUGUAGACUUGGCAUCAGAAAUCGCGAAGCACGUCGGCAUUAGGUACAAACUGUCCAUUGUAGCUGAUGGGAAAUAUGGAGCACGCGACCCUGAGACCAAGACCUGGAACGGCAUGGUGGGGGAGUUGGUAUAUGGGAGGGCAGAUAUAGCUGUGGCUCCUCUCACUAUAACCCUUGUCCGGGAGGAGGUGAUAGAUUUCUCCAAGCCCUUCAUGAGUCUGGGCAUUUCCAUCAUGAUCAAGAAACCACAGAAGUCCAAACCGGGAGUCUUCUCCUUCCUAGACCCAUUGGCUUAUGAGAUCUGGAUGUGUAUCGUGUUUGCAUAUAUCGGUGUGAGCGUGGUUCUCUUCCUGGUGAGUCGUUUCAGUCCAUACGAAUGGCACCUGGACGAGAAUGAAGAGGCGAAGGAUCCGCAGACGCCACCUGACCCGCCCAACGACUUUGGCAUCUUUAACAGUCUCUGGUUCUCUCUUGGAGCUUUCAUGCAGCAAGGAUGCGAUAUCUCGCCAAGGUCUCUGUCUGGCCGUAUUGUUGGAGGUGUGUGGUGGUUCUUCACUCUGAUCAUCAUUUCAUCCUACACUGCCAAUCUGGCUGCUUUCCUGACUGUGGAAAGGAUGGUCUCGCCUAUAGAGGGCGCAGAAGACCUGGCCAAGCAGACUGAGAUCGCCUACGGAACGCUCGACUCCGGUUCCACUAAAGAGUUCUUUAGGCGUUCAAAGAUCGCCGUCUACGAGAAGAUGUGGUCCUACAUGAAGUCCGCCGAGCCUUCCGUGUUCGUUAAGACCACCCCCGACGGAGUGGCUCGCGUGCGCAAGUCAAAGGGGAAGUUUGCGUUCCUGCUCGAGUCCACGAUGAACGAAUACAUCGAGCAGAGAAAGCCUUGCGACACUAUGAAGGUGGGAGGGAACCUGGACUCCAAGGGCUACGGUGUGGCCACGCCCAAAGGGUCGGCAUUAAGGAUAAGACCAGCGCGCUGAGUCUCAGUAACGUGGCCGGCGUGUUCUAUAUCCUGGUGGGGGGUCUGGGUCUGGCUAUGACUGUGGCUCUGGUGGAGUUCUGCUAUAAGUCGCACCAGGAGACCAAACGACUCAAACUUGCCAAAAAUGCCCAGAACUUCAAACCAGCUCCUCCGUCCACUGCACAGAGUUUCACCACAUACAGAGAAGGCUAUAACGUCUACGGAACAGAGAGCGUCAAAAUAUAAUGAUUGGAAGCCUGUCCCUUGCUGAUCAUGUCGUAUGCGGCAUGGGAUAGACUCUCCGUCUCUUUGAGGCGACUGUGAUUUCCCUUUAGAAAGUGGACACGCACCCAACCAAAACCCAUCUCACCAAAACAUUUGUCUUCUCGGCUCUGACACAACCUGAACCAAUCACGCGACAGACUAUCGGAUGGACCAAACACCCGCCCACCCUCUCUCAGUGCCUUACUGAACCAGUGGCAAAACAACAAAACAUGCAGGCCAUCCCACCAAAGUCCUGGAGAUGUCCUGGGUGCUGGGUCUCAAACCAUAGUUAAAACGUAUGCUUAUUAUGAGAGGGAAAGACGGUGAAGGAGGGAGGGAGAGAUAGAGGUUUGAUCUCCUGAUCAGCGAUGACAAGUGUUUAGCGAGCGACAGUCAGCUUGUCUCCAUAAAAACUCACACCAAAAGGGUUUCUGCAAACAAACAUAUUAUGCAAACUGUAGUAAAUGUUUUUGAAGGAUUCUGCUCAUUAAUUUGUUUCAAAAUUUGUGCUGUGAUUCUGUCUCCGUCAACUUAAGUUAUGAAUAAUGUAAAUAAUAAUUUCAGAUACAUUUUGGCAUCAGAGAACUAAUGUUGUUUUCCUUUCACAACUUACAAUUUAUUUUGAUUUUUAUUUCAUAGUGCAUUUGCUUUAGUGGGAGAGUGAAUUCAUGCUCUGUGUGUGUGUGUGAGUGAGUGAGAGAUCGAGAGAGAGAAAAUUACCGUUUCAUGUACUCAAAACCCAACAAGGGUGGAAGAUGCUGAAUUGUUAUUGUCAAAUUAUUCUUAAACAUAGGAGAUAAAUAAUGACAACACAUUCAUAUAGCAUCUGCAACAACAAAAAAAAUCAUAUUCGUCAUUAUCAUGGAUAAGUUCUUUAAGUCAAGUUUAGGAAACAACAGCAAAAUGUUCAAUAAUUUGUAUACUUUUGUUUUAAAAAAAUACUUUAAUAAACUGUGAUUGUCACAUAGGUAUGAUAUCUGUUAAACCAAUUUUAAAAAAGAAAAGAAAACACUUGGAUCUUUGAUUUUAUAAAUCCAGAUAAAGCCACUCUGUUGAAAUUCUUAACAUUUGUUUAGAUGGUAAAAUGCAUAUUUAUUUUGAAGAUUUUAUAUAACUGACUUCUGUAUGAUUUCUAAGUGAACUUGCAUGUACAGUAAGGAUGAAAACUGCUUUCCCCUCAGUAAAGCCUCCCUUGACAUGCCCCUCUUCCCAUAUCCUCCAUUCCUGGUUAAUAAUAAUAAAAGAAUGAAUAGAAAAUAAUGAAAUGAUCAGAUACAUCCUGAUGAAAACAAUAGUCUGUCCCGCUGCAUGACUGCAUCCCACUUAAACAUUUAAGUAUAUUUUGUAAAUAAAGACAGAUUUAAGACAAA